GAAACUCAAAGGAAUUGACGGGGACCCGCACAAGCAGCGGAGCAUGUGGUUUAAUUUCGAAGCAACGCGAAGAACCUUACCAGGACUUGACAUGCCAUUGACCGGUGUAGAGAUACACCUUUAACCUUCGGGUUACAAUGGACACAGGUGGUGCAUGGUUGUCGUCAGCUCGUGUCGUGAGAUGUUGGGUUAAGUCCCGCAACGAGCGCAACCCUUGUCAUUUAGUUGCUACGCAAGAGCACUCUAAUGAGACUGCCGGUGACAAACCGGAGGAAGGUGGGGAUGACGUCAAGUCCUCAUGGCCCUUAUGGGUAGGGCUUCACACGCCAUACAAUGGUCGGGACAGAGGGUCGCCAACCCGCGAGGAGGAGCCAAUCUCAGAAACCCGAUCGUAGUCCGGAUCGCAGUCUGCAACUCGACUGCGUGAAGUCGGAAUCGCUAGUAAUCGCGGAUCAGAAUGUCGCGGUGAAUACGUUCCCGGGUCUUGUACACACCGCCCGUCACACCAUGGGAGUGGGUUCACCAGAAGUAGGUAGCCUAACCGUAGGAGGGCGCUACCAC
rnacentral:rRNA from 1 species